rnacentral:rRNA from 1 species
UACGAAGGGGGCUAGCGUUGCUCGGAAUCACUGGGCGUAAAGCGCACGUAGGCGGAUUGUUAAGUCGGGGGUGAAAUCCUGGAGCUCAACUCCAGAACUGCCUUCGAUACUGACGAUCUCGAGUCCGGGAGAGGUGAGUGGAACUCCGAGUGUAGAGGUGAAAUGCGCAGAUAUCAGGAAGAACACCCGUGGCGAAGGCGGCUCUCUGGGACGGUACUGACGCUGAGACGCGAAAGCGUGGGGAGCGAACAGG